rnacentral:rRNA from 1 species
AGCAGCCGCGGUAAUUCCAGCUCCAAUAGCGUAUAUUAAAGUUGUUGCAGUUAAAAAGCUCGUAGUUGAAUUUCGGGAUCAAUGCGUCGGUCGUGCCUUCGGUACGUACUAGCGUCAUUGAUUCCUCCCUUCUGAAGAACCGUGAUGUCAUUAAUUUGGUGUUACGGGGAAUCAGGACUGUUACCUUGAAAAAAUUAGAGUGUUUAAAGCAGGCUAACGCUUGAAUACAUUAGCAUGGAAUAAUGAAAUAGGACGUUCGAACCUAUUUUGUUGGUUUCUAGGAUCGACGUAAUGAUUAAUAGGGAUAGUUGGGGGCAUUAGUAUUCAAUUGUCAGAGGUGAAAUUCUUGGAUUUAUUGAAGACUGACUACUGCGAAAGCAUUUGCCAAGGAUGUUUUCAUUAAUCAAGAACGAAAGUUAGGGAUCGAAGACGAUCAGAUACCGUCGUAGU